UGGGAUGUAGCUCAGCAGCAGAGCACAUGCCUAGCAUGUGCAAGGUCCUGGGUUCAAUUCCCAGUACAACAA
rnacentral:tRNA from 1 species